rnacentral:SRP_RNA from 1 species
UGGGAGAUUGGACGCAGGCAGCAUGCCCGCCAACCCGGUCAGGUACGAAAGUAAGCAGCCGUAACGAGUUUUGUUGGGUUGCGCUCCGGUCUCCUAUUU